ACGAACGCUGGCGGCGUGCUUAACACAUGCAAGUCGAACGAAGCUUGAUUACGGAUUCUUCGGAUGAAGUAUGAUAUGACUGAGUGGCGGACGGGUGAGUAACGCGUGAGUAACCUGCCCUUCUGUGGGGGAUAGCGUUUGGAAACGAACGGUAAUACCGCAUAAUUUAUUUUUUCCGCAUGAUCUAAAUACCUAAGAUUUAUCGCUGAAGGUUGGACUCGCUUCUUUUUAGGUAGUUGGUGGGGUAACGGCCUACCAAGCCGACGAUCAGUAGCCGGACUGAGAGGUUGAUCGGAAAAAUUGGGACUGAGACACGGCCCAGAAUCCUACGGGAGGGAGCAGAGGGGAAUAAUGCAAAAUGGGCGCAAGGCUGAUGCAGCAACGCCGCGUGAAGGAAGACGGUUUUCGGAUUGUAAAAUUAUGUUCUUAGUGAAGAAUAAUGACGGUAGCUAAGGAGAAAGCCACGGCUAACUACGUG
rnacentral:rRNA from 1 species